CCUACGGGAGGCAGCAGUGAGGAAUAUUGGUCAAUGGGCGAGAGCCUGAACCAGCCACGUAGCGUGAAGGAUGACUGCCCUAGGAGUUGUAAACUUCUUUUAUAGGGGAAUAAAGUGAGUCACGUGUGCCGUUUUGUAUGUACUUUAUGAAUAAGGAUCGGCUAACUCCGUGCCAGCAGCCGCGGUAAUACGGAGGAUCCGAGCGUUAUCCGGAUUUAUUGGGUUUAAAGGGAGCGUAGGUGGGUUGUUAAGUCAGUUGUGAAAGUUUGGGGCUCAACCGUAAAAUUGCAAUUGAUACUGGCAGUCUUGAGUGCAGUAGAGGUGAGCGGAAUUCGUGGUGUAGCGGUGAAAUGCGUAGAUAUCAGGAAGAACUCCGAUUGCGAAGGCAGCUAACUGGCCUGCAACUGACACUGAGGCUCGAAAGUGUGGGUAUCAAACAGGAUUAGAUACCCGUGUAGUC
rnacentral:rRNA from 1 species